UACGUAGGGGGCGAGCGUUGUCCGGAUUUAUUGGGCGUAAAGGGCUCGUAGGCGGUUUGUCGCGUCGGGAGUGAAAUCCACUGGCUUAACUGGUGGCUUGCUUUCGAUACGGGCAGACUGGAGGUGUGCAGGGGAGAACGGAAUUCCUGGUGUAGCGGUGAAAUGCGUAGAUAUCUGGAGGAACACCGGUGGCGAAGGCGGCAUCCUGGACCGACACUGACGCUGAGGAGCGAAAGCCAGGGGAGCAAACGGG
rnacentral:rRNA from 1 species